rnacentral:rRNA from 1 species
AUUGAACGCUGGCGGCAGGCCUAACACAUGCAAGUCGAACGAGUGGCGGACGGGUGAGUAAUGUCUGGGAAACUGCCCGAUGGAGGGGGAUAACUACUGGAAACGGUAGCUAAUACCGCAUACCAUCGGAUGUGCCCAGAUGGAAUCGGCUAGUAGGUGGGGUAACGGCUCACCUAGGCGACGAUCCCUAGCUGGUCUGACAGGAUGACCAGCAACACGGGAACGGAGACACGGUCCAGACUCUUACGGGGGGCAGAAGUGGGGAAUAUUGCACAAUGGGCGAAAGCCUGAUGCAGCAAUGCCGCGUGUAUGAAGAAGGCCUUCGGGUUGUAAAGUACUUUCAGCGAGGAGGCGUUACUCGAAGAAGAAGCACCGGCUAACUCCGUGCCAGCAGCCGCGGUAAUAC